rnacentral:rRNA from 1 species
GACGAACGCUGGCGGCGUGCUUAACACAUGCAAGUCGAACGGAAAGGCCCUGCUUUUGUGGGGUGCUCGAGUGGCGAACGGGUGAGUAACACGUGAGUAACCUGCCCUUGACUUUGGGAUAACUUCAGGAAACUGGGGCUAAUACCGGAUAGGAGCUCCUGCUGCAUGGUGGAGGUUGGAAAGUUUCGGCGGCUGGGGAUGUACUCGCGGCUUAUCAGCUUGUUGGUGGGGUAGUGGCUUACCAAGGCUUUGACGGGUAGCCGGCCUGAGAGGGUGACCGGCCACAUUGGGACUGAGAUACGGCCCGGACUCCUACGGGAGGCAGCAGUGGGAAAUAUUGCACAAUGGGCGGCCGCAUGAUGCAGCAACGCCGCGUGCGGGAUGACGGCCUUCGGGUUGUAAACCGCUUUCGCCUGUGACGAAGCGUGAGUGACGGUAAUGGGUCAAGAAGCACCGGCUAACUACGUG